AUGGAUAUAAAAGAUGAAAAUGAAUAAAGGGUAUAGUAAUGAAAAUAGUUAUAAGUAUUAUUAUGAAUAUUUAUAAAGAAGUUUAUGAAGGGUCCCCAUGUGAGGAAGAAAGGAAAAUCACAAGAGAGAAAGGUGAUCUAAACAGAAGUGACGCAAGAAACACAGUCACCAAACUUAAGCAACUAUCCUUUCUGUUUACCUCGAAUGGAUUCUCAGUAAUGUUGGACCACACCUAUAUUAAGGAGUUUCCGGGAAAGUUUGCAGCUUUUAUGUUUUGGUUCUAAAACUUUGAUCAUGUUGUUGUGGCUCCUACUCCAAGGAAAUCAAUAAAUGGAGGUGUAGAAAUUGCAUCUGCAGGGGGGUCACUGCUCAUUACUGCUUCAUUAUCUCUAUGUUCUGCCAUGCCUGAUAAUGAAAGUUCACUGGCUAACAUCACUGAGACUGUGGAAUUUGAUGCCAAACUGUAAAAAUUGUUGUAAUUUUGAUGUUGCAUUGGCAUUAGGUAUGUGUUAAAAUGAGGAGUUGCUGCAUCAUUUGCUUUGUUGUCCCAGUAUGUUGUUUGGCUAUUGCUUCUACCACCUGAAAUCCCAACCAAGUGG
rnacentral:lncRNA from 1 species